rnacentral:rRNA from 1 species
UAGGGAAUCUUCCGCAAUGGACGAAAGUCUGACGGAGCGACGCCGCGUGAGCGAAGAAGGUCUUCGGAUCGUAAAGCUCUGUUGUUAGGGAAGAAGAAGUGCCGUUCGAACAGGGCGGCACGGUGACGGUACCUACGAGAAAGCCCCGGCUAACUACGUGCCAGCAGCCGCGGUAAUACGUAGGGGGCGAGCGUUGUCCGGAAUUAUUGGGCGUAAAGCGCGCGCAGGCGGUCCCUUAAGUCUGAUGUGAAAGCCCACGGCUUAACCGUGGAGGGUCACUGGAAACUGGGGGACUUGAGUGCAGAAGAGGAGAGCGGAAUUCCACGUGUAGCGGUGAAAUGCGUAGAGAUGUGGAGGAACACCAGUGGCGAAGGCGGCUCUCUGGUCUGUAACUGACGCUGAGGCGCGAAAGCGUGGGGAGCAAACAGG